GGCACUUUGGCCGAGCGGUCUAAGGCGCCGUGUUCAGGAAUUGUUCGCACUGUUCGAACAUUAGCCUCUUCGCGGUCUAGAAAUAGGCGAGGGUUCGAAUCCCUCAGGUGUCA
rnacentral:tRNA from 1 species